GGGGACUUCUGAGGAGGCGCUACUCCCUCCAGUAAUCAGUAGGAACCAGAGGAACUAAUCAGAAACUGCCAAGCUGGAGGUCAACCAUGAGACCACCUUCCAAGGUUAACGCUAUCACUCACAGAGGGUGGCUGGGCACCUUUCUCCCUCUGGGGGCACUUACUAAAGAACAUGUUCUGAAACACUGCAGGUUACAUCUCAAGGGGGGUGAGGGGCAUGACCCUGAUGAGCUGAACUCCCAGGAUCCUUUCAACACCAGCAAGCAACUGAACUCGGAAGGCAAUGGCUGGAGAGAAACAGGCAGAGGAAGGAUUGAAGGACAGAAGGACAUGUCCCCGAUCGCCUACCUCGCAACAGUUCCCAAGAGAUGCUCUCUGAGCCACCUCUGUGGAAAACAACAACUUAGAAAAGACAGAAGUGAAUUGAAAGACCUUUUCCAGGUUUGGGGCCAAGAGACUCUCAGAAUAGUCUCGACAAACAGGCCCCAGGCAAAGGUAUCCUGUAAUCCAAACUCGGGCAUCCUGUACCCAGGUCAAUAGCACAGAGGGCCAGCCUUUCUGAUGGACAGAUUCAAGUCUUGGAAUUGGAUUUCAUUAGCUCUGUUGUCGGACUUCAGUCAAAUGCCCUCUCUGAACUCACUGUGGCCAACUGGCUGAAAUGUACUGACGAGUUUUCGCCAAGCCUUUCUUUCCCUCUAGGGCAGUGGUUUUCAACCUUCCUAAUGCUGCAACCCUUUAAUACAGUUCCUCAUGUUGUGGCGACACCCCCAACCAACCAUAAAAUUAUUUUCGUGGCUACUUCAUAACUGUAAUCUUGCUACUGUUAUGAAUCGUAAUGUAAAUACAUUGGGAGAUAGGGGUUUGCCAACAGUGUCAUGACCCACAGGGAACCGCUGCUCUAGGGGGGAGGUAGAAUGUGUAGCUGACGAGUGGCAUAGGAAUGAAGUGAAGUCCUGUUACUUGAAGUGCAGAGCAAGCACACAGCAUAAAAAGGAAUGGGCACAUCCUGCAUAUCAUGGCAUUUAGAAAUCUUAUCAGGUCCUGCUCUGAAUUCAAUGACAUACGCCUGCCAAGCUCAUCCUGAAUAUGUGGCUAUCGCAGUGAAUAGGAAAAUUCACACAACUAACAUACAAUUUUUCAAAAAUAACUUAGAAGUAACUGUAUGUGUCCGAAGAUACUCUUGACCUUUAGAAAGGGAAUACUGCAUUAGACACAUCAAUAAAUGUAUAAAUGUUGAAUAAACACUUUAUUUUCCUCAAGAUGCUGAUCAAAGAAUCUUGUCAUGGGUAUUCUCAGUCAUUAGUCAAAAUGUUACCAUGAGUUUGAUGAACUAACCAUGAAAAUAUUGCAUUUAAGGAGUCCUUUUAGCCUAAAUGUGAGAUUUUGUUUUCUGUAGCCAGCUAUUUUCAGGCUUCUAGUUACAUAGUAUCACAGAGAACCUGGAUUAUGUAUAUUAAUGUGUUUUCUUUAAAUGAGCUAACUACCGAGAAACAUUUGAUUGUGGGGGUUGCUAAGCUAAACCAACAUACAUAGUUUAAAGGUAUCUUGACUUCCAAAUUUACGUCUAAGGAUAUGCUACUUUGGGAAAGGGGUUCUGCUUUUUUUUCCAUAGAAGAUGAAAAUCUGUGGAUUCCUUCCAGGCUAAUAUUGUUCAAUCAAACCAGACCCCCUGAAAUGGUGGCCCAGGUGAUCCAAUAUCAAUGACAGCUUCAGGACUGCUGGCUGAGAUGACCAACCACACAAAAUACCCCAGUCAGGACUUGAACAUAAUCCUAAAUUUUUUCAAGAUACCCAUAAGAUUAACAACAGCCCCAUCAGCAGGAAGUAGUCUAGAAAACUAUGACCAAAUUCCCAAAUAUUGUUUAUGAAUGUUUGUUUUCAUUUAAAGGGAAUUGUUUAUAAGUGGUUAAUAGUCACAGUCAAUCUCUUUCUAAAAAAAGAAAAAAG
rnacentral:lncRNA from 1 species